GUAUUGUGGGAAUGUAUUACCAACAGAGGUGCAGGUGUCAGCCAUUUGAAAGAAAGCAUCAAUGAGGGUGAGAGUCCUGUUUGUCAUGUGCAGCCUUCUGUGCACGGUGUAUAUUUGCUGAGUCACACUCCUUGGGCAUUGGAAUGCAAAGUGGGUGGUAAGUUUCAUGCAAAGGUAAAUAUGCAAUUGAGACUGAUAGCGCACAAGUACCAUGAGGGACAUAUGAAAAGGACUUUGAAAAGAGAAUUAAAUGAGUUUGUAUUUGCUAAACACAAAGUAAACAGACUUGAUUUCCUCAGUGAGAUUGUAGUGCUUGCUUAACAAUGGGUUUUGGCUGCAAGUGCAAUAAUUCUUGCUUUGUGUGCCAGUUUUUAUGUGGACAUUUGAUUACCUUUGCACAUGAAUGGUAAUUUUCCUGCGGGGUGUGGAUUGCAUAUGCAUGUAAUGAUUUGCAUGUUUGUUAAAUGUGUCUGGUGUAUUUGUUUGUGUCCUUGUCCUUGAUGUUGCUUUCUCCCUUGUUCUUACAUGCCCUGGGGGACAUAUUCUGGCAAAAUGCUUCUGCUUGAUUCGUCUUGAAACACGGACCACGGAGUCUAUUAGAUGUGCAAGUUUGGAGGUGGUAUACCUGUGUGUGUCCUGAGCGUAUUG
rnacentral:rRNA from 1 species